CAGUCGCCGCGGGAAUACCAGCACCUCGAGUGGUCAGGAGGUUUAUUGGGCCUAAAGCAUCCGUAGCCGGUUGCAUAAGUUUUCGGUUAAAUCUAUGCGCUUAACGUAUAGGCCGCCGAAAAUACUGUGCAGCUAGGGAGUGGGAGAGGUACACGGUACUCGAUAGGAAGGGGUAAAAUCCUUUGAUCUAUUGAUGACCACCUGUGGCGAAGGCGGUGUACCAGAACACGUUCGACGGUGAGGGAUGAAAGCUGGGGGAGCAAACCGGAUUAGAUACCCCGGUAGUCCCUGUCUCUUAUAC
rnacentral:rRNA from 1 species